rnacentral:rRNA from 1 species
AUGCACUGGGUUUCGUGGAAAGAUCUUGCGACACCCAAGUGCAAGGGAGGCAUGGGUUUUCGUGAACCCCAUCAGUUCAAUAUUGCACUAUUAGGGAAGCACGGAUGGAGGUUCCUAACUAAUAUGAAUUCUCUAUGUGCAAGAGUUUUAAAGGGACACUACUUCCCUGACACGGAUUUCAUGCAUGCAACCAUUCCCAAAUCUGCUUUUGCAACUUGGAGAGAGAUCAUUGCAGACAGGGAAGCUUUGAACGCAUGUUUAAUAAAAAGAAUUGGAGACGGGACUUCCAUCGAUGCUUGGUCAGAUAAAUGGAUUGCCGGAACUAUUUCUAUGUCCCCUAUGUUGAAGCCGCCGAACACCAAUGUCCAAUUCGGUUUUGGACCUGAUUGA